GCCAAGCCGAAAAGUCACAGUGCUGACUCUGGAGUGCCCAGUGGUGGAAAACGUGUGAACUUCCAGCUGCAAAUGACCUGAGGUCCAAAGCCCACUCACGAAAAGAGAAUUGCGACGGACGUUGUGAAGCCACCUCACGGGCCCUCAUGUCUGCAGACACUGGCGGUGUAUUCUACAGAACCCUUGUGCUUUCUUUCUUAUUGCUGUGGCAAAGUUCCUGACAGAAUUUCGGAAGGAAGUGUUCAUUCUGUGCUUUAUUUAUUGUUAUUAUCAUUAUUAUUAAUUAUUGUUAUUAUUACCAUUUGAAGGUGUGGUCCAUUAGGGCAGGGAGGACAUAGCAGGACAAGUGUGCGGUCACAACGUAGAGAUAAAUUCUGUUGCUCAACUCACUUUCUCACUCCAUCUGGGACGCCAGCCCAAGAAAUUGUGUCUUCUGCAUUUAGGGUCUUUCCUACCUCAGUUAGCAGAAUGUAGAAACUCACUCACAAACAUGGCCUAAACUGUCUCCUAGCUAAUUCUGGUUCCAGUCAAGUUGACAGUCACUAUUGGUCAUCACAAACCCCAAUUCAGUAUCUAGUAGAGAUACAUUGACUGAACUUGAAAAGCAACAGUGUAUCAAGGUUCUUGUGUCUGCUGAUGGUUACCACGAAAGGCUUUGCCGAGGAUUCAGGUAGAACUCAGGAGUAAACUGGUGUUGUGUAACUGUGGUGGCUGGCUCUUAACAGCACAGUGAUUCUUUAGCUCCUCUACUCACAUCCUGAAGUGAGCCUCUCUCAUGAUGGAAGAGCACCGGUGUGAGGAGCAUCAUACAGUAGGUGUGAGUUCUUAUGGCCUCAGUUGUUCUUUCCUUAGGACUAUCUAGCCUGACUGGAGUCACUGUUUAUAACGCAAAGACACUCGAAUGGCUCAGUAGCCUAGUCAAGAGCUUGGCUGCAAUUUCAAAGGCGGCCCUGAGCCAGAACAACUCUGCUAAGCUGCACCCACAUCUUUCACCCUCAGAAACCAUGUGAAAGGCAAAUGUCUUAAGUGGCAAACAGGGACCCAAAAUAUCAAGAGACCCAUCGGAAGCAAGUCAGCCAGAAUGUCAUAAUUGUCUCACCCACUAGAGCAAAUACCAGUGCAGAUUCCAGAUUCCUGGUCAUCACUCACGUCCGGACCUUCCAACACCAUGCCCAAGUUCUCUGUCAGAUUCUGGACUGAACAGAAUUCCUACCUUGAAAUCUCCACCUUCUCUCAAGCUUACUGCAAACGUUGUGUGACAAAGGAAGCUGAGAUUCCCACAACCAACUCAACCACAACAUCAUUUUCUAAUACAAGAUAUGCCUGCCGGCUACAGAAAUCGAAGGGGUGGAGAGAGCCGGAGACCCAGCUUUGAGCAACUGCCUCCUCCUUUUGGAGCCCUUCUCUGUUCUGAGUGGCCAUUUCUCCUCCUUGCCUUGAGCAAAAUUCCCCAGAGGAGUAUUUCCCAGCACGGAAUGAGGAUGUUAUUUACGGGAUGAUCACUCAGAUUUUCUAAGGUUCCUGCCGUCGGACAACAGGAAGGAAUUUCUUCAGCUGGGAGACAGCUGGUAGGAGACACAGUCCAUCCUUCUCCUUGAGGACUUCCAUCCGGCCUCCCUUCUCACUCAUCCUUUGGUUCUGAGAGAGUACUCUCCCCCAUCACAUGGUGUGGUCAGCUGCAAAAUAAGCUUGGGAGAAAAUAGUAGCACUGGACUCUGUGAAUGUUUUCCAGGGACACCCAGCCUUGACCCUAUGGUGCUAUUAGCCAGUGGCAUUGAAUUUCAUUCCAAAGGCAUUGCUGUUUACAUAAAGCUGUGUCGGACCCAAGCCCAGUGGGAACCACAGAAGAAAUUACAGGGAAGUAAAGCAGCAUUUGCCUUCAAGAUUGGGUCUCUAGGGAAUGCAUCGCAGUUGUUUUGGGGACUAUGUGGCCCUGUGGGGAUGGUGUCUUGAUUUUUCAAGCAUACAUACAGCAUCUUGCAGGACUGAAAGAGACUCACCUGGUAGCUCUUUUCAAAUGAGCCAAAAAAGAGGCUAUCUUUUGUUUCAAACGUUUGAAGCACUGGAGAGAAUCCUUGUGUUCAGAUGAAGAGAAAAUGCCACCACCAGAGAAAUCAAACCCCUGAGCUGUUAAGAUACUUGUAACAAAUGGAGGAGUGUCAGGAAAGUUGCAACACAAAUUGUGGAACUGCUGGCUUCCUUCUCGGCCUGCACACUUGUCUGCUCAAGGCUUGAUAGACUGGCCAGCCUACUGCCCCUUCUUCCAAGAGUACUUCAUUGGGUUUUUUUCUUUUAACUUAAUACAGUUCUAAAUACAAAUUUGAAUCUUUAUUUCA